AUGCAGAAGCUAAUAAGAUAUGGUAUUGUCUUGGAACGAACAGGGGAGCUGACAUUACAGGCCUGGUCUGCACCAAUGGAGGCAAUGCGCAAAAAGGAGGCAGCAGCAACGGCUUGUUCUGAAGACAACCGUAAAGGUGUACAUGGUGUAUCCAUGAAUGGGCUAUACGAUCCUUGGAAUCCUGCCUACCCUCCACGUGAUCCUAGUCCAUGCGAUGCUGACAUGGCUGCUCAUAUCGCAUCAGUCAAGGAGUGGAUGGACAAAACACAGGCUAUACUUGCUAACUCCAGAGCAACCAAUAUAAUCAUACCAGAUCGUACUCCGCAGUUCGUAAAUGAUGUGCUCUUCGAUAUAUUACCCGCCUUGGUGCCAAUCUUGGAAAAGGAUAAUGUCAGAUCUUUCCUUCGCUUCCUCAAUGAGAAUGGAAGGGCCAUGUCUUGGGGUUUCAUCAUCACGCCAGAAACUUUAAACCAGAUAAUCGUGUCUAAUGCAGUGCGAUGUGCCAAAGUUGUCUUGGUUGGUGAUGAUCCUGAGCUUCAUGGUUUCCGAGCCAAUCCCAACUGCAUGACACAAUAUGGGUACUUUUCCCUCCACCGAGCUGCUGAUAUGUUCUCUGUUGAUAUGAUUGAGUUGCUCUUGCGCCAUGGUGCGUCUGCCAAUCUACGCACAUCUGGUGAUCUAGUCCCUGCUGACCUACUCCCACUCCAUGUUGCGGUUGAGAACACUUCCAUGCAUAAGUACCUUGAGGACAGUCUAAAUCCUAGUCAACAGCGUGUGGACUGCAGCCAGGCAGACAUCAACUAUAUCCUCAAGCUCAUCCACAUCCUGUGCCUACCUGAAAUGAAAAUCUUCUUGGAUACAACUAGGCUGCUAGCCAAACACACAGAUGAUCUGUUAGAUGAGCUCUGCAAGUACAUAGUAGAUGGGAAGAUCGUCCAUACGGCUGUUUUGCUCCUAGCAGCUCAAAAGCAGAUCCGCGGGCUAUCUUCCUGCAAUGGAUGUGGGAGUAGUAAGAAAGAUGGGUUUGGUACUAUCACUAACUUUGUCGUGGACAACAUUACUGCUAUAAAGAUGCGCCAAAACAGACUGGAAAUGGAGCCACUAGAGGUGAAAAAGGAGCUUCUUGAUGUUACAUUGAAUCUUGUUCAUGUAAUUUUCAAAGCUGGUGAAGCUCUUGAUGUUUACAUAAGGUCUCAUCCAAAGAUUCCCUGUGUCAUGGAAGUGGCCCAUGCGGAGGUCUUUGAACAUGUUACGCUCAUUCUGAAGGAUCAUGGAUUUUUUUCUAUUGGAGAUGGCAUAGAUAUUGGAAAUCUCCACCCCUAUCGGAAUGUGCUAUCCUCUCAAGAGCUACCUCACAAAUUAGCGGAGAUGGCUAGGAUCAAAGCAGGUCUGAAAGUGCCUUGUCUGCGAAAUGGAAAGCCUAAAGUGAAGAAAGAUCCCAGGGGAUGGGAGCUCAAAUUUGCAAGGAGAAGUUUCUUCCAAUCUCAAAGAUCAGUGUUAACAUCAGAGCUUAGUGUGAAGUUCUUCGCUCAUAAGGAGAAGACCUCGGAUAAGUCAACCGGCAAAGCAUCUAUGUUCAUGGGCGGAACUCUGCAGCCAAAAUUUAAUUAUCAGCCCAGAAGGAUGUUUGGUACAGUGGCAUUGACGCUGUUGAAAGCGCUAAGGAAGGCAUGA
rnacentral:rRNA from 1 species